AGAGAGAGACAUGCGUGCAUAUCAAUAAGCGGAGGAAAAGAAACUAACAAGGAUUCCCCUAGUAACGGCGAGUGAAGCGGGAAGAGCUCAAAUUUGAAAUCUUAAAGGGUUUCCCUUUACGAAUUGUAGUUUAAAGAAGUGUUUUCUGUUGAGAUUUUUGUAAAAGUUCUUUGGAAUAGGACAUCAUAGAGGGUGAGAAUCCCGUAUUUGACCUUUACUUUCAACUUUGUGAUGACACUUUCAAAGAGUCGGAUUGUUUGGGAAUGCAGUCCAAAAUGGGUAGAUAAAUUUCAUCUAAAGCUAAAUAUUGGCGAGAGACCGAUAGCGAACAAGUACCGUGAGGGAAAGAUGAAAAGAACUUUGAAAAGAGAGUUAAACAGUACGUGAAAUUGUCAAAAGGGAAGCGUUUGACACCAGUGUUGUUUUUCUGAAAAUCAAUUAAAGGACUGUUUAUGCUAAGUUGUUUAGACUUUAUCAGCUAACUGUUUAGUUUUGAGCUUUUCUUUAAUGCACUUUUCAGUUAACAAGUCAACAUCAAUUUCUUUUGCUGUAAAAAAGCUUGAGGAAGGUGGCUUGAGAUUCGUCUUAAGUGUUUAUAGCCUCUUGCCUAUGCAGUCGGAGAGAUUGAGGUCUGCAGCGUAGAUCCUUCGGGGCUAAAUGCAUUUGUGCUAAGUUAUAGCAUUUUAUAGACAACUUGUUGACUAUGAUUUGUCUUGUAGCUUACUCGCUUAUGUUAUUUUACCUACGCUUAGGAUGUUGAGCGCAUGUCUCUCUCU
rnacentral:rRNA from 1 species